rnacentral:tRNA from 1 species
GCGACCAUGGUGUAACGGUUAGCAUUAUCGCCUUCCAUCAAACAGUGGAUUGUUAGCGAUAGAUUGGGGUUCGACUCCCCAUGGCCGCA